AUUGCCUACCCAACAUCCAUUCUCCCCUCCUUCCCUCAUAGAACACUGGUUUUAUAGAGGACAGCCAGGGUACAAUUAAAAGACUAUUUUCCACACUUUGCCUUGCAGCUAGGAAUGGCUCUAUGAGAAUGUUUUGGUCAAUGAAAGAUUACAAAAGUAUUCUGUGGGACUUUUGGGACAUUUCCUUAAAGAGAAUGUUGGCAGCCUUCCAGUUUAUUAAAACAACAAUCCAGUGCUGAUCUUCUCUCUGUAUACACAAUUCAAGGAUGGAUCAUUUACUCAAACAGAGCUGUUCACUGAGGUUUAGAGAGUAAGAGGAGUGAGGGGAGACGAGACCCGGGGAAAUGAAGUUUGGGAAAAAUUGCCCAUGGUGUGUCUUCUCACUCUUAGUCUCUUACUUACCUACGUCUUCACUAUACACAGUGUUCUGGUCUACAGCAUGUGGUUCACCGACCAAUCUCUGACCCACAUUCCUGACCGAAAGGCACCUGACAUGGGGCACCGGGAAAGAGACUUCCCGGAGCAGGUCGUGGUCAGUGAAGACUGAUUUCUGAUUUUCAUUUUGAAGUUGUACCUGGUACUGUGAUGUCCCCAAGGAUUCAUCACAUUGGAUCAACAGAAGUGGAAAUGUAAUCCUACCACACAACAUGGCUCUUCUGGAGAAAAAACGUUACACUGUCUUAAUGCCACGGUUGUAUUUUCAAAUAUCAGUAUCAACCUACAGAUAGAGCACUAAUGAAUUACUUGGACAUUGAACAUGGUGUAAAUGUAAUCAAGUUUUAUGGUUUUUUUUCUUCUUUUUUUCUUUUUAG